rnacentral:rRNA from 1 species
UACGUAGGUGGCGAGCGUUGUUCGGAGUUACUGGGCGUAAAGAGUGCGUAGGCGGUUUUCUAAGUUUGGUGUGAAAUCUCCCGGCUUAACUGGGAGGGUGCGCCGAAGACUGGAAGGCUUGAGUAUGGGAGAGGUAAGCGGAAUUCCUGGUGUAGCGGUGAAAUGCGUAGAUAUCAGGAGGAACACCUGCGGUGUAGACGGCUUACUGGACCAUAACUGACGCUGAGGCACGAAAGCGUGGGGAGCAAACAGG